CCUACGGGAGGCAGCAGUGGGGAAUAUUGGGCAAUGGGCGCAAGCCUGACCCAGCAACGCCGCGUGAAGGAAGAAGGAUUUCCGGGUGUUAACUUCUUUUAAGAGGGAAGAGCAGAAGACGGUACCUCUUGAAUAAGCCACUGCUAACUAGGUGCCAGCAGCCGCGGUAAUACGGAGGUGGCAAGCGUUGUCCGGAUUUACUGGGUGUAAAGGGCGUGUAGCCGGGCUGACAAGUCAGAUGUGAAAUUCCGGGGCUCAACCCCGGACCUGCCUUUGAAACUGUUGGUCUUGAGUAUAGGAGAGGCAGGCGGAAUUCCUGGUGUAGCGGUGAAAUGCGUAGAUAUUAGGAGGAACACCAGUGGCGAAGGCAGCCUGCUGGACGACAACUGACGGUGAGGCGCGAAAGCGUGGGGAGCAAACAGGAUUAGAUACCCUUGUAGUC
rnacentral:rRNA from 1 species